rnacentral:misc_RNA from 1 species
AAGUCGUAACAAGGUCUCCGUAGGUGAACCUGCGGAGGGAUCAUUACUGAGCGAGGGCCUCCGGGCUCGACCUCCAACCCCAUGUCAUCCGACCCAGUUGCCUCGGGGGCGACCCGGCCUUCGGGCUCGGGGCCCUCGGUGGACCCCUCCAACCCUGCAUCCGUGCGUCCGAGGAGAUAAUGAAUCAAUCAAAACUUUCAACAACGGAUCUCUUGGUUCUG